rnacentral:rRNA from 1 species
GACAGAGGGUGCAAACGUUGUUCGGAAUUACUGGGCGUAAAGCGCGUGUAGGCUGCUUCGAAAGUCGGGUGUGAAAGCCCCGGGCUCAACCUGGGAAGUGCACUCGAAACUUCGAAGCUGGAGUUCUGGAGAGGAAGGCGGAAUUCUCGGUGUAGAGGUGAAAUUCGUAGAUAUCGAGAGGAACACCGGUGGCGAAGGGCAGG